rnacentral:rRNA from 1 species
AUUGAACGCUGGCGGCAUGCUUUACACAUGCAAGUCGAACGGUAACAGGUUAAGCUGACGAGUGGCGAACGGGUGAGUAAUGCAUCGGAACGUGCCCGAUCGUGGGGGAUAACGCAGCGAAAGCUGCGCUAAUACCGCAUACGAUCUGAGGAUGAAAGCGGGGGACCGUAAGGCCUCGCGCGAUCAGAGCGGCCGAUGUCGGAUUAGGUAGUUGGUGGGGUAAAGGCUCACCAAGCCAACGAUCUGUAGCUGGUCCGAGAGGACGACCAGCCACACUGGGACUGAGACACGGCCCAGACUCCUACGGGAGGCAGCAGUGGGGAAUUUUGAACAAUGGGCGAAAACCUGAUCCAGCCAUGCCGCGUGCAGGAUGAAGGCCUUCGGGUUGUAAACUGCUUUUGUACGGAAUGAAAAGGUUUGGCCUAAUAAGCUGAGCUCAUGACGGUACCGUAAGAAUAAGCACCGGCUAACUCCGUGCCAGCAGCCGCCGUAA